rnacentral:rRNA from 1 species
GUAGGUGGCAAGCGUUGUCCGGAAUUAUUGGGCGUAAAGCGCGCGCAGGCGGUCCUUUAAGUCUGAUGUGAAAGCCCACGGCUCAACCGUGGAGGGUCAUUGGAAACUGGGGGACUUGAGUACAGAAGAGGAAAGCGGAAUUCCAAGUGUAGCGGUGAAAUGCGCAGAGAUUUGGAGGAACACCAGUGGCGAAGGCGGCUUUCUGGUCUGUAACUGACGCUGAGGCGCGAAAGCGUGGGGAGCAAACAGGGAUUAGAUACCCUGGUAGUCCACGCCGUAAACGAUGAGUGCUAAGUGUUAGGGGGGUUUUCCGCCCCCCUUAGUGCUGCAGCUAACGCAUUAAGCACUCCGCCUGGGGAGUACGGCCGCAAGGCUG